UACGUAGGGGGCAAGCGUUGUCCGGAUUUAUUGGGCGUAAAGAGCGUGUAGGCGGCCAGGGAGGUCCGUUGUGAAAACUCGAGGCUCAACCUCGAGACGCCGAUGGAAACCCCCUGGCUAGCAGUCCGGAAGAGGAGAGUGGAAUUCCUGGUGUAGCGGUGAAAUGCGCAGAUAAUCAGGAAGAACACCCGUGGCUAAGGCGGCUCCUCGUA
rnacentral:rRNA from 1 species